rnacentral:rRNA from 1 species
UAGUCCACGCCGUAAACGAUGAGAACUAGAUGUCGGAAGGGUUUAGCCUUUCGGUGUCGCAGCUAACGCGUUAAGUUCUCCGCCUGGGGAGUACGGUGGCAACACUAAAACUCAAAGGAAUUGACGGGGACCCGCACAAGCGGUGGAGCAUGUGGUUUAAUUCGAUGCAACGCGAAGAACCUUACCUGCCCUUGACAUUGACAGAACCCUUUAGAGAUAGAGGGGUGCUUCGGCCUGGAAAACAGGUGCUGCAUGGCUGUCGUCAGCUCGUGUCGUGAGAUGUUGGGUUAAGUCCCGCAACGAGCGCAACCCUUAUCCCUAGUUGCUAACAGUUCGGCUGAGAACUCUAGGGAGACUGCCGGUGACAAACCGGAGGAAGGUAAGGAUGACGUCAAGUCAGCAUGCCCCUUAUGCUCUGGGCUACACACGUGCUACAAUGGCCGUGACAAAGAGUUGCUACUUUGUGAAAACAAGCUAAUCUCAUAAACGCGGCCUCAGUUCGGAUUGCAGGCUGAAA